rnacentral:rRNA from 1 species
GACGAACGCUGGCGGCGUGCUUAACACAUGCAAGUCGAGCGGAAAGACCCUUCGGGGUACUCGAGCGGCGAACGGGUGAGUAACACGUGAGUAACCUGCCCUAGGCUUUGGGAUAACCCUCGGAAACGGGGGCUAAUACCGAAUAUGACCUCCUGUCGCAUGGUGGGGGUGGAAAGUUUUUCGGCCUGGGAUGGACUCGCGGCCUAUCAGCUUGUUGGUGGGGUAAUGGCCUACCAAGGCGACGACGGGUAGCCGGCCUGAGAGGGCGACCGGCCACACUGGGACUGAGACACGGCCCAGACUCCUACGGGAGGCUG